UAGAAUUUAUGUUCAAGAAGGAGGCAGCAAGCAUUAUCCAUGGGUAUCUCUCAAAUAUCAAAAAGCAGAAUAAAUAUUACUGAAAAGCUAACCAAUUGAACUACUAUUGGACUUAUAUUUCCUUGAGCACAUGGCACUCUUCUUCUGAAUUAUGUAAAAACAAAGGAAAAAAAUAUUCUGCCAAUGAGAUGAAAUAUAACCCCACACAAAAGGUUCAAUGUCUUGCCCCUUGAUCUUCCUUUAAAAUGGAGUCUUAAGUUCUUCGUUAUGGCAAAAGAUGGUACCUUAAGUUGUAGAAGUAAAUGUUAAGGGCUAAAAACAAUGACUCAGUCCUUGUCCAGUUCAUGUUGAUUGCCGAGUAUUUAUACAUAUGGACCAUAUAUAUGGUCAUUGACAGAGAGUAACCAACACUGCCUGAAUUCCAUGUUAUUUGGUGAUUCUUAUGGGAAUGGCAGAAGGAGAAAGUGAGGAACAGAGUACCUUUUUAAUUCACUUCUUUUACCUCUCUGCCUUCCUUUCUCGAUUGAAAUAGACAUAGGAGGUAUCAGAGAACAUGUUCUGCCGGCAGGGACAAUGUCAGGAUCAGCGAUUGCUUCGCUUCAUGCAUGAUUCGCUUCAGUCUUCUCUUGGCAUGUCAGUAUGACUAGUCCUGACUUAGGCUCCGCGCUGUUUCAGAAGACGGCAAAACCAGAUUGAGCAAUCCUUGUUAGCUUUGGCCAAGGAUGCAAAGAACUCGCGGAGCAGCAAACUUACGCGAGCAGCGAACUCAAGCGAUGGCACACACGCACAAGUGGCAAAUUGUAGUGGACACGACAAUGGCGACGCACGCGCACUCAGCUUUUCUCUCUAUGGCUCAAUGGAGAUAAACACAAAGAAGUGCACACACACAGGUUUUUGUAGCAAUUAACAAAUGACUGAAACCUUUUCUCUGUU
rnacentral:lncRNA from 1 species